rnacentral:lncRNA from 1 species
CUCAGCUGGUGCACAGCCACUCGGCAGCGAAGCCUAUGGGAGGCUAUCCCAAAGACAUAGCCUGGCCCAAGUGCCAGCCAAAGCCUUGUAAUCAGUUUAGUUACAGGACAAAAUCCAGACCAGAGAGAGGAUUAGGAUAUGUGGCGGCGUGCAAGGGGAUGCUUUGAACUUCACUAUGGAAGCACCUCCCCCCAAGAGAACCAAGAAUGCCCAAGCGUUCCACUCAGGUCUCCCAGAGGAGAAAUGGACCAUGUCGCAGCCCGCUGCUCCCGGAAUGGCAAGCAUCCGACGGGCUGCCCUGCUCAGCGGUCCCCAGGACUCAGGAAACUGCAAGAGAGACGAAGCUCCCUUCUUGUGCUCACCACGUUAUAAGUCAAGGCUGGGGAGGUGGAAGGGGGAGGUGCAGGGAGCCAGGCGUGCAGCUUGGGUUAUUGUUCCCAGAUGGGGACUGUCAACCCCUGUCAGCUUCAGAUAUGCGCCAAGAGCUCUGCAUCCGCAUUCCUGGGAUGCGUGGCGGCCCAGAGCUCACCUCUUGCACCAGGAUUCAAUAACAUGUCAAACUGCUUCAGUCUCCCUCGGAGCUAAAACCCUCUCAACUCUCUUGCUGCCUCUGCACACACACCUUACUCCUGUCCAAAUAUUGAAGCUGUGUUGAGUGCAGCCAUGUUCAGCCUGGGCCAAUUGGGUUCCACCUGCCAAAAACCAGCUCCAUGGUGAGAGCCAAGAGUCCUUGAAUAUAUACAGUGGGCCUUGGAACUUGUCCAGAGUACUGUUCCAGGGUGUGGUAGCUUGGGGACCUGGGUAAUUGGUCUGGCUGCUCUCAAGUUCUGUCUAUAGCGUAGUUAUUGCUAAAAGUCAAGUUCUGCCUGUAACUCCAGUACUGGGGGGCUUAUGCAGUACAGUAUUUCCCCGUAGUUCAGACUCAGUAUUUCAGAGACUAAGUAGGUAGGAACAACAUUGAACCUACAGGCCUUUAGUUUCCUGCGGGGACAGAGGCAUUGACUUAGAGCCCACGGUUGAGAGUGGUUUGGAGAUCACACAGAACCAAGUGAAGCACUUGGAUAUAUAUGAUUCCAGAUUUUUUCCCCCCUGGUUUUUAAAAAAAUAGAUCUCACUAUGUGGCCCUAGCCUGCCUGGAUCUUGCUAUGUAAAAAUGAACUCACAGAGUUCAUUUGCCCUGAACUCAGAGAUCUUCCUGCUUCUGCCUUCCCCAGUGCUGGGAUUAAAGACAUAUGCCAUCAUGCCCAGCCAUGUCAAAAAUUUUUACUAAUUGUUAUGUUUUAUUAUGUUUCCCCCCAAAUAUAUGAGAAAGUCCUACCCUUUCAGACAUGACCUGUAACUACGGUUAGCAUAGAUCCAAUGAGGUCAAGAUGAGGCUAUUAGGGUGGGCCCUGAUCCAGAAAAGCUAGCGACCUUAUGAAAAGGAGAGGUCAGGAGAACGAAGGGACAGAGAUCAAUCACACAGCCAAGGGCCACCUAGAUAAAGCCACUUUCUUCUGAAGGUGUUAAUAAAAGUUUCUCACCCAGAGUACUUUGUGGGGCA